AUGCAGUGGAGAGAACAACAGACCAGGAAGGCAGCAGCCCUGCCCACCAGGAGCCAGCUAUCACAGACACUGGCAGCUGGCUCAGCUCUGCAGCAUCUCAGCGGCCUUGGCCCUGCUGUCCCUGGGAGCAAAGAGCAACACCCUGAAGGAAAUCCUAGAAGGUCUCAAGUUCAACCUCACAGAGACCCCUGAACCAGACAUCCACCAGGGCUUUAGGUACUUGCUAGACUUCUCAGUCAGCCAGGGGACCAGGUACAGAUCAGCACAGGCAGUGCCCUGUUUAUUGAAAAGCACCUACAGAUCCUGGCAGAGUUCAAGGAGAAGGCAAGGGCUCUGUACCAGGCUGAGGCCUUCACAGCAGAUUUCCUGCAGCCUCGCCAGGCCACAAAGCUCAUCAAUGACUAUGUGAGCAAUCAGACCCAGGGGAAGAUCAAGGAACUCAUCUCAGACCUGGAUAAGAGCACGUUGAUGGUGCUGGUGAAUUACAUCUACUUUAAAGGCAAAUGGAAGAUGCCCUUUGACCCCCAUGACACAUUUAAUUCCGUGUUCUACUUGGAUGAGAAGAGGUCUGUGAAUGUGUCCAUGAUGAAAAUUGAGGAAUUGACCACACCCUACUUCCGGGAUGAUGAGCUGUCCUGCACUGUGGUGGAGCUGAAGUACACCGGAAAUGCAAGUGCUAUGUUCAUCCUCCCUGACCAGGGCAGGAUGCAGCAGGUCGAAGCCAGCUUACAACCAGAGACCCUGAGGAAGUGGAAGAACUCUCUGAAGCCCAGGAGGAUAGAUGAGCUCCACCUGCCCAAGUUCUCCAUCUCCAUGGACAACAGCCUGGAGCACAUCCUUCCUGAGCUGGGCAUCAGGGAGCUCUUCUCCACACAGGCUGACCUGUCUGCAAUCACAGGAACCAAGGACCUGAGAGUCUCUCAGGUGGUCCACAAGGCUGUGCUGGAUGUGGCUGAGACAGGCACAGAGGCAGCUGCUGCCACAGGGGUCAAAUUAAUUCUAUGUUGUGAAAAAAUCUAUUCUAUGACAAUAUAUUUCAA
rnacentral:lncRNA from 1 species